rnacentral:rRNA from 1 species
UACGGAGGGGGGCUAGCGUUGUUCGGAAUUACUGGGCGUAAAGCGCACGUAGGCGGCUUUGUAAGUUAGAGGUGAAAGCCCGGGGCUCAACUCCGGAAUUGCCUUUAAGACUGCAUCGCUAGAAUUGUGGAGAGGUAAGUGGAAUUCCGAGUGUAGAGGUGAAAUUCGUAGAUAUUCGGAAGAACACCAGUGGCGAAGGCGACUUACUGGACACAUAUUGACGCUGAGGUGGCGAAAAGCGUGGGGGAGCAAACAGG